AAUCGCCAAUCCAUAGUGCAUGUGGAGAGGAUGAUUGAUUUCUGUACGAUAAACAAACUUGACCCUUUGGCCCUAAGCAUUUUCUAUAAUAGCUUCAUUUCAUUGCAUGUAUGAAUUACAUGGCUUGUGGAAAAGAAAAAGGAAAAUCUAAACAAUCAAUAGGGGGAUGUCAAUAAAACAGCCACAGUUCAGUUCAACAGAGCUUGUGUUACUCUCAUCGCCAUCCAUAUGGGCUUGAAUCAACUUCUGUGACCAUAGACUAAUAGUAUAUUUCUGUCCCUUCCUCUCCCUCUAUCUUUACUUCUCUGUGACGGAGUGAUGAAAUUCUCCUAAUUAACUGGCUGGCUGUAGCUAUGCUGACCAGAGAGGCCAUCCUGGGGCUAGAGUACACACAUAACUCCCAAACCCUCAGUCCGCUCCACCUGGCCCACAGCCCAUGACGGAGGGGUGAACUGGGAAACCCGACCCUAAUCACUCUCAACUUUCCAUUUCUGUCGAAGUGGCCCAGACAUUGGAGCUCAUGCUCUAUUCUGAGCCUAAGAAGUAAGCCAGCAAACCAUGCAGGCAUCCCUUCAUUCGCCUUUUCCUUUCCCUAUUUUUUUUUUAAUCUCUCACCCAGCCCAUUUUCUGUCUGCUUUUUUGUUGACGAUGGGCUUUUUUGGCACAGCCCAAAGUUUUUCUCAGUCAUAUCCCUUUUCUAUGCCUUCCCUCUCUCUCACUUGGACUUGAUCUUUAUUUUGCUCUCAAGGGAGCAGUUAAGUACCUUCAGGCCUCUCAGAGACUCCUGGCCACGAUUGGCAUGCAAGUUCCCCAGCUCAACACCCCAUAUUCAAGUAAGCUCCAUAAACCUUGCAUGCGCACACACACACACAGGCUGCCACAGCAAGCUAUCUUAGUCAUCCUCACAGGUGGCUGUCCAAAUUUAAAACCACAGGCAGGCUGUGUGUGUUAUCCUGGGAAAUUUGUGGGAGCUUGUUUAACACACAAAGCUCACAGACUGAUGGACAGAUGAGAUCUGGGAAGUGAAUGUUGUCAAUGGAAGGCCCCCAACUUUCUCUUUCACUUUCUGUUUAUCCAAUCCUUUUUUUUUUUUUUUUUUGGUUUCUUUUGCUUUUGAUUUUUACUCUUUUGAGCAGUUUUGUAAAUAUUUCAUUCAGUGCAGUCAUUCUCAACCCAGAUUUUACAUGGGACAUCAAAUGGCAACUCAACACAGUAUCAUAAUUAUUGUAUUCAAUUAAACAAAUAUAUUUCUUAAAAUGCCCCAUCUAUCUUUUUCCUGAGUAACUCACAAGCGCCACCAUGAUGAAUUAUAACUUCCGUUUGGAUUCUCUCAUGCCACAGUAACAGCAAUAAACUUUUAUAAAAUUCCUGUAAAGUACUUACUGCACCAGCCAAUCUUUCCGUCUCCGACAGUGUUUGCAUUGCAUUCUGUGUCAAAUACUGACAAGAGAAAACAAGCAUGGCUUGCAGCACCUAACUUAAAAUACUGUGUGUAAAAUAAUAAAAUAAUCCAUGCUCAUCAUUUUGUAGACAAAAUGAUUUUCUGAUACAUGCUGUAUACGGUAGACCAAUCACAACAGACUCGGCCAUCUGACCAAUCAGAGCAGAGUUGGCUCACGGAAAGGAGGGGUUUACAGAGACUGAAUCUUAGAAUUGCUUCAAACAAAUCGCUUGAGAAUCGUUGAAAAAUGAGACUCCCAAAACAAUAUUAGGAACCUUAAAAAUGGCAUUAUAGGGGCACUUUAAAAUCAAACAUUGUAAUUUAUCACCUUAUAAGUUAUAAGCUCAAUAACAUGCAAAUGUAUUAACAGUUCACAAAGAUUGUCUGUGCCGAUUGCCUUGUGGGCAGUGCGCCAACGUACAGCGGCAUUGCACUACGGGCAUCCCGAGUUCGAAUCCCAGCUUGAGGACCUUUCCUGAUCCUGCCCCCUUUUCUCUCCCAAUUAGCUUCCUGUCAACUCUAAACUAUCCUAUCACAAUAAAAUGCCAAAAA